rnacentral:rRNA from 1 species
UACGAAGGGUGCUAGCGUUGUUCGGAAUUACUGGGCGUAAAGCGCGCGCAGGCGGCUAUCCAAGUCAGUGGUGAAAGCCCGGAGCUCAACUCCGGAACUGCCAUUGAAACUGUUUAGCUUGAGGAUGAGAGAGGUGAGUGGAAUUCCCAGUGUAGAGGUGAAAUUCGUAGAUAUUGGGAAGAACACCGGUGGCGAAGGCGGCUCACUGGCUCAUUACUGACGCUCAGGCGCGAUAGCGUGGGGAUCAAACAGG